CGGCGAACGGGUGAGUAACACGUGGGCAACCCACCCUUGGUAUCCGGAUAGCCCGAGGAAACUCGGAUUAAUACGGAAUGGCCCAACAGUCUUUCGGGACGGUUGGAAAAGGUAGCUUCGGCCUCCGACCAAGGACGGGCCCGCGGUGGAUUAGCUUGUUGGUGGGGUAAUGGCCUACCAAGGCGACGAUCCUUAGCUGGUCUGAGAGGAUGAUCAGCCACACUGGGACUGAGACACGGCCCAG
rnacentral:rRNA from 1 species